rnacentral:rRNA from 1 species
UGGGGAAUAUUGGACAAUGGAGGAAACUCUGAUCCAGCAAUUCUGUGUGUGUGAAGAAGGUUUUAGGACUGUAAAACACUUUUAGUAGGGAAGAAAAAAAUGACGGUACCUACAGAAGAAGCAACGGCUAAAUACGUGCCAGCAGCCGCGGUAAUACGUAUGUUGCGAGCGUUAUCCGGAAUUAUUGGGCUUAAAGGGCAUCUAGGCGGUAAGACAAGUUGAAGGUGAAAACCUGUGGCUCAACCAUUGGCUUGCCUACAAAACUGUUGAACUAGAGUACUGGAAAGGUGGGUGGAACUACACGAGUAGAGGUGAAAUUCGUAGAUAUGUGUAGGAAUGCCGAUGAUGAAGAUAACUCACUGGACAGAAACUGACGCUGAAGUGCGAAAGCUAGGGGAGCAAACAGG